rnacentral:tRNA from 1 species
AUCCGGAAGUUCUGGGAGCUCGGCCGCGCGGGAGGAAUGAAGGGCCCGGGGUUGUCGAGGCCCACGCUCCGCCACCCGGGCGGUCGCUUCGCAUGCUGGGAGUUGUAGUUCGAUGCAGUUUAGGGUUUUGGGCGUGGGCUCCAAAAUCCUAGAUUUGACCUCUGCCGGCUCUGAGCCGUUAUUGGCUGCCGUUAAGGACCGUUACCAUUCUCAGAUUUGCGGAGGCUGAAUGAAGGCUAAUGAAAUGGAGCUCAUGAAGAGUGAUUAUGGAGGAUGAUGGUGCUGGUGUCUGGCCCCUUGCCAUUCUUGCAAUCUAAAGCUUAAGUAAGACACCCUGCAUGGUAUUUUACUGCAAACCAAGCAGUUUUGGCUCAGUGGAGAGCUUUUCUGGUAGAUAGGCAAGCAAUGUGACUAAGGUGACCAAGCUCAGAAUGCAAGUAUGAGUCCAAGGUUCUGGAAUCCAAGUUAGAAUCUUCUAAAAUCUUAGAUUUCGUAGGAUUCCUGAUUUCUCUAUAGUAAAAAUUUAAAUUUUUACGUUUUUUAAAAAAAAUUAAAAAAAAAAAAAAUUGAGUAUAUGUGACACUUCGUUUGUUUUUUUCUUUUUUUCGGCCAUGCCACGUGGUGGCUUAUAGACUCCUAGUUCCCCAGCCAGGGACUGAACCUAACCCUGGCAGUGAAAGCACCAAGUCCUAACCUCUGGACCACCAGGGAAUUCUCAACACCUUUUUAAAAACUUUAUGUUUAUUAUUUUAUUUAAGAAAUAUCUUUUUUUUUUUUUUAUUUAUUUGGUUGUACUGGCUCUUAGUUGAAGCAUGUGGGAUCUAGUUCCCUGACCAGGGAUCAAACCCAGUCCCCCUGCAUUGGGAGUGCUGAGUCUUAGCCACUGGAGCACGAGAGAAGUCCCCAACACCUUUUUUUUUUUAAUGUCCAUUUAAUGACUGAAUUUUGCCACAUGUGACUUCAAUGCCUGAGCUUACUUGAAUGUCUAAGUAACUAAGCCUGUGUGCCACAACUACUGAAGCCUGAGCGGUCUAGAACCUGUGCUCUGCAACAAGAGAAGCCACUGCAGUGAGAAGCCUGAGCUCUGCAACAAAGACCUAGCACAGCC